rnacentral:rRNA from 1 species
GACGAACUGUGCAAACGUUAUUCGGAAUCACUGGGCUUAAAGGGUGCGUAGGCGGCCCUAUAAGUCAGUGGUGAAAUAUCGCAGCUUAACUGUGAGGGUGCCAUUGAUACUGUAGGGCUUGAGUGAAUUUGAGGUAGGCGGAAUUGACGGUGUAGCGGUGAAAUGCUUAGAUAUCGUCAAGAACACCGAUAGUGAAGACAGCUUACCAAGCUUCAACUGACGCUGAGGCACGAAAGUGUGGGGAUCAAACAGG